GCGCGGCCCCUCCGUGCUCCCCCCGCUGCCCCGCGCGGGGGUUCCGCCGCCCGCCAGGCCCCGGGCGCAGGAAUCCCAAGAGGAAUCCGUAAAUCCCGGGAUUUCUGCCUCUGGAAGCUCGAGAUGCAUUAGAAUUCCAAGAAUUCCCAGAAUUCCCUUUCCCUAAGGAAUGCAGCACCAUGCGCUGCCUGGCCCGCCUCAGCUCCAAG